rnacentral:rRNA from 1 species
GACGAACGCUGGCGGCGUGCUUAACACAUGCAAGUCGAACGGAAAGGCCCUGCUUGCAGGGUACUCGAGUGGCGAACGGGUGAGUAACACGUGGGUGAUCUGCCCUGCACUUCGGGAUAAGCCUGGGAAACUGGGUCUAAUACCGGAUAGGAGCCAUUUUUAGCGUGAUGGUUGGAAAGUUUUUUCGGUGUAGGAUGAGCUCGCGGCCUAUCAGCUUGUUGGUGGGGUAAUGGCCUACCAAGGCGGCGACGGGUAGCCGGCCUGAGAGGGUGGACGGCGACAUUGGGACUGAGAUACGGCCCAGACUCCUACGGGAGGCAGCAGGGGGGAAUAUUGCACAAUGGGCGCAAGCCUGAUGCAGCGACGCCGCGUGGGGGAUGACGGCCUUCGGGUUGUAAACACCUUGCGCUAGGGACGAAGCUUUUUGUGACGGUACCUAGAUAAGAAGCACCGGCUAACUACGUG